rnacentral:misc_RNA from 1 species
AAGUCGUAACAAGGUUUCCGUAGGUGAACCUGCGGAAGGAUCAUUAAUGAGUUGUGAUGGGGUUUGAUGCUGGCAGCCUAAUUUUGGAUGCAUGUGCUUGCCCUGACAAUCAUCUUCCAAACACCUGUGCACAUUUUUGAGGGAGUUUCGAGUUAAUUGCCAUUCGUUUGGUGUAUUUCUCGCGUUCCCUUAAAUUUUAUUAUACGCUGUUAACAAAUGCUGAACGUGCUUUGUGCCGCAAGGCCCUUAGUAUAAUACAA